AUCAGCGUUGCUGAAAGCAGCUGUCCAGGUCUCUUGUCGCUUAAAUUCCACUUCUCCUUGGAGCGGGGAUGAAGUCUGAGAUCUCGAAUGUGGCCUCUGAGGCCCCAUAAGAUCAGGCCCUGCUUUGUGUCCUGAUGCCAAGGUCCUCAAUGCUGAGAGCCCUGAGCCCAAGACAAGGUGUGGUGCACACAGACCUUGCCUGGAUCUUUUCGAAACCAGUGGUGGAUGGCCAAGAUUCAUUUCCACUUAUUUCCCAUGCAAAAGGCAAAGUUGUCAGCUGUUUGGUGAAUAUGUCAGAGCUCUGGCCUAGAAGAAUCUCCUGGAACCCUGGCUGCCUGGGUCCCCAGGUAUCAAUGUCAACAACAAUCCGUGUCCAACAUCUUCAAAAUGUUUGGGCAUUUACCCUCCCCAGAGUCCAGUUACCCAAGGAAAUGGCUGCAGGUCCCUUUGGAGGAAGGUCUGGGAGAUUAGCUUCUUCUUCAGUCCGUCUUGCCCUCAGCUUCCUGAUGAGCCAUCCUUGGUUUAUUUUAGUUGUAGAGGUUGAGCAAUAAUACUUUGUUGGCUGCCUGUUUUUCCCCUCGAAUGCAAAUUUCUUUUUACCAUUUCCGUAGCUCUUUGUGGGUUAGAUCCCACUAGCUGUCACACCCACUUUGCUGCCCCUUAUGAUAAUUACAUUAUGAUGACUACAAACACCUUGCAUUGGACAGUAAGUGCUACCUCUAUCAGUCCCAUUGUUACUAGGGAGCCCAGGCCUAUAUCAUCUACCUUUGGAUAUCCUGUAAUAGUCUUGACCUUCAGAGAAGAGCACCCACUGAGCUUCUUCAUGACACUUGCCCUCUCACCGGCGUAUUCUUCUUGCUUUGGCAAAUACAGCAUUCUUCUAGGCCCUCUUGUGAAAAAAAAACCUAUCAGCUGUUCGGUUCUCUGGCCUUGUAUGGUAUAUCCACUCUAGCUUGCCUAUUUUCUGAGCCUUUCAUCCCUUCCUUCCCCAUCCUCCAUGAUCUGACAUCUCCAUUUGACUUGGCAUCACAUUUUCUAAGCGUCCAACUCCUGGGGUCCUUACCAGGAUGUUAAAUGUUGCAUCAAAGGAGAGUGCUUCCAUAGCAAUACAUUUUCCCCAUCCAGCUUUGCAUUUCAUCCCACUUUGUCCAGCAGUCUCUCUAUUCCCUCCUGCACAUGUGCUUGUGGCACUUGUAGGACAUAUUGGCUGGGUCCCACAGCUCUCUGGGCUAUAGUUCGUUUCUUCCCUUAGCACGUUUACACUUUUCUGGCUAGAAUAUGUUGUGGCUUGACCUUACCUAUGGGUCUGGUGGCCAAGAGUAGAUUUUUGAGGGGAGAAGGAGGGAGUUGUCAUGCAUUGUCUUGCAAAGCAGAACCUCAUCAUCAUCUUCAUGCAAAAGCAGGCAUUAGCCUUUAAGGAGAAGAGUAGGAUACUAUUCCAGGCCUAGAGAAUUCCAGAGGAUCUGGGAACUUGAGAACUUGAGAUGUUUUAAUAUAUGAACCCAAAUGUCCCCAUCCCACUCUUUCCUAAUCAUAGAACUGACUUUGGCCUAGCCGACCUGCCAGGACUAAACUUCAGUGUUGCUUUCAGUAUUUCUACUCUUAUAAUUAAACCUGGGGCCUGCUUCUCAGCUGUAUCUGCCCUGCAGUUGCAGAGGAUAAUAGUCUUUUCAUAGGCUUCAUAUAAAAGCCAAGAGGUCCUCUGGUAUGUGUACCUUGCCUUAUAUUGGUGUUUAAUCACUUAGUCUUUUAUUAAAUUUCUCCAAUGAAUUAACAGCUUCUAGCAACAACCAUCUGAUUCCAUAGUUCUUAUAAUUACUAUUUCCCCCAAAACUCUUAAACACCUGAGAUCUCGCAUCUGCCAGAGCAGUUUCUUCCCAAGUAUCAUGUCCUAGUUCACCACCAGUGAAAAUUUUAACAAGUGAAUCAUAACUGCAAGUGCCUACCACCAGUGAUGAGGUCUUCACUGAAGCAGCUAGCAGAUGACAGCUCCAACAUGCUGCUGGGACCAACGUUCAUAGGUCAAGUUCCCCAGAAAACAGACUGUGUGCAGGAGGUUUCCUAUGAGUGGUCUCAGGACCAGCCCCUGCGAGGGGUGAGGGAAGCAGAAGUGGGCAGGGGGAAUAAACUAUGAUCCAGUUGCAACAGCAGACUCAGCCAAUCCUGUGGGGAGCUCUGGAACUGGACUCUUUCCAGUUGAGGCAAGACGGCUGGAACCCUGUGCCCCUUCAUCAGUGAGUAAUAGGAUGCAGGCUGCCUCCAGGUAAGGGAUGUAUCUUUGGGUGAGACUGCUUCUUAGGACCAAUGGUAAUUCUGGAGAGGGGCUCAGCAAGAGGCUACAAUAUCUACAUCUUGCAGCAGCUAGGGGAAGUAGUGCUCCCAUCCUGAUGGCACAUCUGGGCAGCAUGUCCCUUCACUUUUUCUCUCCAAUGAGAGAGAAGAAAAGAGAUUAAAAAUAAAAUAGCCCCUUUGUUUUAUAUUUGAAAUGAUUGCUCUUGUGAUUAUAAUUUGCAACCUUAAUAUAAAAUGCACUGAAUUAAC
rnacentral:lncRNA from 1 species